AAUCAACGCUGGCGGCGUGCCUCAGACAUGCAAGUCGAACGAUUAAAGCUCUCUUCGGAGAGUGUAUAGAGUGGCGCACGGGUGAGUAACACGUAAGUAAUCUACCUUCGAGUGGGGAAUAACGUCCGGAACGGACGCUAAUACCGCAUAAUGCAGCGGCAUCGCAAGAUGACAGUUGUUAAAGAUUUAUCGCUUGAAGAGGAGCUUGCGGCAGAUUAGCUAGUUGGUAAGGUAACGGCUUACCAAGGCUACGAUCUGUAUCCGGUCUAAGAGGACGGUCGGACACACUGACACUGAAUAACGGGUCAGACUCCUACGGGGAGGCAGCAGUCGGGGAAUUUUGGGCGAAUGGGCGAAAGCCUGACCCAGCAACGCCGCGUGAAGGAUGAAGUAAUUUCGGUA
rnacentral:rRNA from 1 species